rnacentral:ncRNA from 1 species
UACUUAUUAAGAGCUAUCGAGGCGUCAGUGGCCUGUGAAGUAGCAGCAACCUAUUUAAUUAGGUGCUUACCACUAGGGGGAAACCCAUCAAUAAGGA